AGAGUUUGAUCCUGGCUCAGGAUGAACGCUAGCGGCAGGCCUAACACAUGCAAGUCGAGGGAGAAGCCUUUCGGGGCAGAAACCGGCGCACGGGUGCGUAACGCGUAUGCAACCUACCUUUCACAGGGGGAUAGCCCGAAGAAAUUUGGAUUAAUACCCCAUAAUAUUGUUGGAUGGCAUCAUCUGACAAUUAAAACUGCGGUGGUGAAAGAUGGGCAUGCGUCCUAUUAGCUAGUUGGAGUGGUAACGGCACCCCAAGGCUACGAUAGGUAGGGGUCCUGAGAGGGAGAUCCCCCACACUGGUACUGAGACAGGGACCAGACUCCUACGGGAGGCAGCAGUGAGGAAUAUUGGUCAAUGGUCGGAAGACUGAACCAGCCAUGCCGCGUGCAGGAAGAAUGCCUUAUGGGUUGUAAACUGCUUUUAUAUGGGAAGAAUAAGGAGUACGUGUACUUUGAUGACGGUACCAUAUGAAUAAGCAUCGGCUAACUCCGUGCCAGCAGCCGCGGUAAUACGGAGGAUGCGAGCGUUAUUCGGAAUCAUUGGGUUUAAAGGGUCUGUAGGCGGGCUAUUAAGUCAGGGGUGAAAGGUUUCAGCUUAACUGAGAAAUUGCCUUUGAUACUGGUAGUCUUGAAUAUCUGUGAAGUUCUUGGAAUGUGUAGUGUAGCGGUGAAAUGCUUAGAUAUUACACAGAACACCGAUUGCGAAGGCAGGGGACUAACAGACAAUUGACGCUGAGAGACGAAAGCGUGGGGAGCGAACAGGAUUAGAUACCCUGGUAGUCCACGCU
rnacentral:rRNA from 1 species